rnacentral:rRNA from 1 species
AACGUAGGGGGCCAGCGUUGCUCGGAAUUACUGGGCGUAAAGGGUCCGUAGGCGGUGUGGCAAGUCGGAAGUGAAAUCUCUGGGCUUAACCCAGAGGCUGCUCCCGAAACUGCUAUGCUAGAGUGCGAGAGAGGCGAGUGGAAUUGCGGGUGUAGCGGUGAAAUGCGUAGAUAUCCGCGGGAACAUCCGAGGCGAAAGCGGCUCGCUGGAUCGCAACUGACGCUGAGGGACGAAAGCUAGGGGAGCAAACAGG